rnacentral:lncRNA from 1 species
AGAGCGAUCCCAGGAUGGGUGACCCACUGGGAAGUUGCUCGUGAGCUCCCAGAAACAAAACCGUGAGGGCUCGAGAGGGGGGCCCAAAGCGGACAAUAUCGUGCUACGGCGGAGCCGAUCUCGGGAUGUGACAGCUCGCCCUCCAGAAUCAUAUUAUGGAGGAUGAUGCAAGUCAUCAUAAUGCUUCUGAGGAUCUCCUCAUCAAACAUACGGGUCGCACCUCAAAUAAUC